ACAUACUUCUUUAUUUCUUCUUCUAGAUGAUGAUACUCAUUCCAGACUGGUGGGAUAGUCUCAGAUCCUGGUAUAAGCCUGGAAUGAUAGCUUUAAUAAUAACAAUAAUGUCCACCCCAUUUUCCCCUGAAGGCUGUGAUUUUAUAAAGAGAUUUUAGCGGCAUAAUCCUCAAGAGGAGUUUUAAAGUGCCAUUUUGAUGUCAUUGGAACCCCAAUCUGAAAUUGCAGUCUUAAUUUAUAUACUUUUUGGGAAUGCAUUAUUUAUUAAAUAUGGGGUUUUUUUAAUUAAAAAAAAUCCCCAAUUGGCUACCAAUCCCUCUCUUCCCCCUACUUAAAUAUUCCUGUUUAGUGUCUUGGGUCUUUUUCCUUUUUCAUCCAUUUUCAAUGCCAAGCUCACCCUCCAUGGUUUGUGAUCCUUUCCAAGUUCCUUUUAGCUCAACAGCUGGAAUUUUAGAAGAUUUACAUUCCAGAAGAUUGCAUAACUUAUUAUGUGUUUUCCGAUGUCUUGUGGCAUCAAAAGUAGAACAAUUUUUAAAAGGCGAAUGCUCCUAUUUUAGAAGGCCAUAAAGGUUUCCUUAGAAGAUACGAUAAGAAAAAAAUACUCAGUUGUACAUAAAGAGGUCCUCCAAAGUGCAUUGGGAUCUACUAGCUUAGUCAACCAUGCCCACAUGCAGUCUUGAGUAUUUUGGGGGGUGGGGGUGGGGUUAAGAUUACAUGUGGCUAAAUGAUGUGUAGAAGGACAAUGAGGUUGGCCUAAAUGUAUGAACCAUGUGACCAAUAUGUGCGUGGUUUAUUGUAACCAGAAUCUCCAAGGAAUUGUUGCUCAAAUUCAUGUAUAUUUUGUGGUACAUUAUUUAUGAUAUGUGAAUCUUGAUUAGAGCCUGUGGAGCCACGGAAACCUAUAGAAAACUUAGUGGCUAUUUUAAAAACUGCUAAAAAGCAGUUGCACUGCCCAGAACCACUUUUUUUUUUGCAGAUGUAUUUUUUUUUCCUAAUUAGUUUUUUUAAUGUAAUUUUGGUGAUGUUUCCGCAGAUUUUUAAAAAUGUACUUUUGGUGAUGUUUCUGUCUUGCGUACUUUCUGAAGGCAGAAAAGUACCAGUGGUUGUUUGCAGUCUUAUUGUGUAAUUGGCCUUUUGCAGGCUUCCAUGUAUAAUAAAGUAAUUAACAUUGUACAAGUGUAAAACACUUCUGUUACGAAGAUGGUGUUAAAAGAACUAUGAAUUCUUAAAUUGUUACAAAAUGUUAAAACAUACCAGUUUUCUCUUCCCCCUACCCACCAAAUCAACCUGAACACUAUUUCACCAAAUGAACCACCACAUUUAUUACUAAUGCAUAAUUAAUCAAAUCCCACUUAUUAAAACUUGAUAUGUACUUGAUUAUGUAUUUUCCAUUCUUCAAAAUAGUGCUGUUAAUUUUCCCUGCCAUCUAGGCAUAGAGCACAACUUAUCAAGGGAUGGAGUGUACUUUAACCACUGUGUUGUUCUACUAUGGGUUUUUUAAUUUGGUUUUUAAGUAUUUUGUUCCGCAGCGGUUACGGUUUUAUUUUCUUUUAUAUUGUGUAUACUGGAUAGUGUGUAUGUUCUGGGAUUGUUUGCUUUAGACUGUGACCAAUUAAAAAUGCUAUUCACAAAAAUCUAAGGAAAGAAGAUGUUGUAUUAUCUAUCCAGUUAUACCUCUGGCUUUGUUAAGAAAAUUCCGUAAAAUGUUUUUAAACUAAAUUGCUGGAACAAUAGAAGGAUAACUUGCUUGCUUUUAAAGGUAUUUUUAUUGUAAAACUUCUUUAGGUGAACAAUAAAAACACUCUUUUCGUUACUUUGAGAUU